rnacentral:tRNA from 1 species
GGGGUUAUAGCUCAGUUGGUAGAGCGCCACUCUUACAAAGUGGAUGUCAUAGGUUCGAGUCCUAUUAGCCCCA